rnacentral:rRNA from 1 species
AUUUAAGGUUUAAUCUGCUCAAUGAUUAUUUAAAUUGCCGCAGUAUUUUGACUGUGCAAAGGUAGCAUAAUAAUUAGUUUCUUUAUUGGGAACUGGAAUGAAUGAUUGGACGAGAAAAUUUCUGUCUCUUUAUUAUUUUAAUUGAAUUUUACUUUUAAGUUAAAAGGCUUAAAUUUUAUUAGAGGACGAGAAGACCCUAUAGAGUUUAAUUUUUAUUUAAAUAAUUAUUUUUAGUAUUUAUAUAUAUUAUUUAAAUAAAAAUUUAGUUGGGGUGACUAAAAGAUAAGAAUAACUCUUUUAAUUUUAAUCAAUUAUUUUUGAUUAUAAAAUCUUUAUUUUUAAUUUUAAAAUAAAUUACCUUAGGGAUAACAGCGUAAUUCUUUUUUAAAGUUCUUAUUAAAAGAAGAGUUUGCGACCUCGAUGUUGGAUUAAAAUUAAUUUUAGGUGUAGAAGCUUGAAAAUUAAGUCUGUUCGACUUUUAAAAUUUUACAUGAUCUGAGUUUAAACCGGUGUGAGCCAGGUUGGUUUCUAU